GACGAAGGGGGCUAGCGUUGUUCGGAAUUACUGGGCGUAAAGCGAGUGUAGGCGGUUGCCCAAGUCAGGUGUGAAAGCCUUGAGCUCAACUCAAGAAAUGCACUUGGUACUGGGUGGCUAGAGGACCGGAGAGGAUAGUGGAAUUCCCAGUGUAGUGGUGAAAUACGUAGAGAUUGGGAAGAACACCAGUGGCGAAGGCGGCUAUCUGGACGGUUACUGACGCUAAGACUCGAAAGCGUGGGGAGCAAACAGGG
rnacentral:rRNA from 1 species